rnacentral:snRNA from 1 species
AUCGCUUCUCGGCCUUUUGGCUAAGAUCAAGUGUAGUAUCUGUUCUUAUAAACUCUUCAAAAUUAACAUGAAUGUCUCCUUCUAACUCUGUCUAAGGUCCGGCACUCCUAGCCAGCACUCCAUCAACUACAGGGUAGAUUUGUUAUUUAAAAAAUUUUUUCUAAAAAAAAAAUUUCU